rnacentral:rRNA from 1 species
UACGAAGGGGGCUAGCGUUGCUCGGAAUCACUGGGCGUAAAGCGCACGUAGGCGGAUUGCUAAGUCAGGGGUGAAAUCCUGGAGCUCAACUCCAGAACUGCCCUUGAUACUGGCGACCUUGAGUCCGGGAGAGGUGAGUGGAACUGCGAGUGUAGAGGUGAAAUUCGUAGAUAUUCGCAAGAACACCAGUGGCGAAGGCGGCUCACUGGCCCGGUACUGACGCUGAGGUGCGAAAGCGUGGGGAGCAAACAGG